CCCUUAGAUGUUCUGGGCCGCACGCGUGCUACACUGAGUGGAUCAGCGGGUCAGGCUGCGCGAAAGCGUUUCCUAAUCUUGAAAUCCGCUCGUGAUGGGGAUUGACGGUUGCAAUUUUCUGUCAUGAACGAGGAAUACCUUGUAAGCGCGAGUCAUCAUCCCGCGCUGAAUACGUCCCUGCCCUUUGUACACACCGCCCGUCGCUCCUACCGAUUGAGUGGUCCGGUGAGGCUUUGGGAUCUGAGCGGAAAGAGCGUUUCGCUCGUUCUGCCCGGAAAACUCAGUCGAACCUUAUCAUUUAGAGGAAGGAGAAGUCGUAACA
rnacentral:rRNA from 1 species